GCUUGCUGUCCUCUAGGUUUUAUGUACAGAGUUCUUAGAAAUGAAGCAGCUGCAGAAAAGGGACAUCCUGAGGAGAGGUACACCAACGCCUUCCUUGGGCACGGACCAGAGGACUCACAUUUUGUGUAGAGCUCACUUACUCAGAAGUGACGAUAUUGGAUCUGGUUUUGGUCAUUUCGGAAUUGCUGUUGAGGAUUUAAGCAGCACUAAUUGUUUAUCAAGUAUAAGUAGCUCAUCUAUAGCCUCUUUCUAGCCGCCGCCUCCUCCUCCAAGAAAAGCUAGGGUUCGUGCCUCUCGCCGGCUCCGCCAUAGGUCCGCCUCGUCUCCGGUGGCCCUAGGGCUAUGGGGGCGUGGUGGAUCCUGGCAAGGGCCGGCGGGAGGGCUCCGUUGUUAGUCGUUCCUUCAAAUUUUGUUAGGUUUUGUGUCCUACUCAGGAAGACGAGACGGUGGCGGCUCCCUGAAGAUGGAAUAAAGGUCUCCCCGCCUAGUCCCCGUUCCGAUGGUGCGUCUAGCAUCGUUGG